rnacentral:rRNA from 1 species
GACGAACGCUGGCGGCGUGCUUAACACAUGCAAGUCGAACGGUGAACCUCUUCGGAGGGGAUCAGUGGCGAACGGGUGAGUAACACGUGGGCAACCUGCCCCCGGCUCUGGGAUAACUCCAAGAAAUUGGGGCUAAUACCGGAUGUUCACCGCUUCCCGCAUGGGUGGUGGUGGAAAGGGUUUCCGGAUGGGGAUGGGCCCGCGGCCUAUCAGCUUGUUGGUGGGGUAGUGGCCUACCAAGGCGACGACGGGUAGCCGGCCUGAGAGGGUGACCGGCCACACUGGGACUGAGACACGGCCCAGACUCCUACGGGAGGCAGCAGUGGGGAAUAUUGCGCAAUGGGCGGAAGCCUGACGCAGCGACGCCGCGUGGGGGAUGACGGCCUUCGGGUUGUAAACCUCUUUCAGCAGGGACAAAGCGCAAGUGACGGUACCUGCAGAAGAAGCACCGGCCAACUACGUG